rfam:Pseudomonas fluorescens HK44 Contig9, whole genome shotgun sequence.
UGUGUCGACGGAUAGACACAGCCAUCAAGGAUGAUGGUCAAGGAACAUCGCAGGGACGUGAUUCAUCAGGACGAUGAAAAGGAACACAGGGAAUAGGGAAAAAAUGUGGGCGGGUCAUACCGCCCCUUUUUUU